rnacentral:misc_RNA from 1 species
AGUGAUCUUCUCCAUACUUCUAAAAGCGAACCGAGACCUUGAAAAAAAUCUUUGUUUUGAAAACUCCGAUUGACUGGGGAGUUUUUGACAGGAUUAUACAAGGAGAACUUGCAGCGUACCUUUUGCUUCUCAGCAACCCUAGCCCUGCCACUCAGCAGACUAGGAGAUUUACGAACAGCAGAUUUUUCCCCCCAGAUCCCGCUGUCAUCAGGGGGAUCCCGGAAUUCUCUGAGAGAGAAAAAAACCGUUGGACAUUAUUACCUCCUAGUGUUGUGAAGUUCAUCAUUCAGCAGGAUGAUAAACCCGUUCAUGGAGAGUAGCUCGCACCUGGGGGCCGGGACUUUGAAACUGAGCCCCACAAACCACAUGAACGAUACCGGAUCAUACCUUCAUGGACACUCUAACCAAUACAGCGUUUCCUCUAAUGGAUACGGAGUGCCUCACUCGCAUCACGUCAAUGGCUACGCCACCCGGGAUCUUCUUCUCCGCCGGGCCGACCACAUCACCAUUCCCGGACACGAGACCAACGGAAACUCGGGGAUGUUCGGAACACCCUCUGCAUCCUUCCACUCACAUCCUUCAGAAAGCAGCCAUAUGCUAUUGCCCGGACUCCAGGAGUCCUCUCCGUUUUCCUCCGGACAUCACGUGUCCAACAGAUUCGGAUUCCCGUCCGAUGUUUACUCCCGUAUGGAGCAAUACAAUCACAUGGUACCCCAGAGAGCGGACCACUAUACUCAACCCCAGUCGUUCAACGUCUCUCCAGUAGGGGGACUUAACUCCAUGAACAUUGGGUCCCACGGGCCCGGAGCUUUCCUGCGGUACAUGCGACAGCCCAUCAAGCAAGAGCACACGUGCUUGUGGGUAGACAAAGACCAACACGAACCUAAGAAACCGUGCAAUAAAAUUUUCUCCACGAUGCAUGAAAUCGUGAACCAUCUGACUGUGGACCAUGUUGGGGGGCCAGAACAAGCUGACCACACCUGUCUCUGGCAGGACUGUGCCAGGCAUGGCCGACCAUUCAAGGCCAAGUAUAAAUUGGUUAACCAUAUUCGAGUACAUACGGGGGAGAAACCCUUCCCCUGUCCGUUUCCUGGAUGUGGGAAAGUUUUCGCAAGAAGCGAAAAUCUCAAAAUCCACAAAAGAACCCAUACAGGUAUGUUACUUAUUCAUUUCUAUUCAUUAUCUAAUAAUAUUAAUAUCUUUAACAUAUGCUCUAAAUUUAAAUUCAUAAGACAAAAUCACAAAAUUUUAGAAUUGAAAAUUUUGUGCAUUAUUUUAUGAAUUUAAAUUUUUAAAAUUCAAUUUGCAACCCAAAGAAUCAUAAAUUUAUAAAAGAAAAAUUUGUGAAUUCAGUUACAAAUUGAAUACUUGGUUGUUGACAUUCAAAUUUUCUCCUUGAUAACAAAUAUAACAAUUCUUUUCACAAUAAUAUUUUGUUCUUAGUACUUCUUACGUUUUAAUGUAUUCUAAGUUCAUCCCUACUGACGGUAUUGGAAAACCAGCAAAUGAUUCUUAAUUAUCGUUAAAUAAACCACAAUAACAAAAAUAUUAACACAAAUAUUAACUACCUUUCUAUUGGUAUUCCCGUUGUAUUUAUUAUUUGUUCAAAAUGCUAUUAAAAAGCAAGAAAUAUAUGGCGUUCGAAGACAAAAACAUGAUAAGUGUUGAGAACUACUUAUCUCAUUACAUUGUGUAAUAAUUUUUUUUUAAAUAAAAUUUUAUCAAUGAAGUUUGUAAUUUUUAAUUUAAUUUUUCAGGAGAGAAGCCCUUCCCCUGUGAGUUUCCCGGUUGUGACCGGCGAUUCGCCAACAGUUCCGACCGCAAGAAGCACAGCCAUGUCCACACCAGCGACAAGCCAUACCUCUGCAAGUUCCGGGGCUGCGACAAGAGCUACACUCACCCCAGCUCCCUCCGGAAGCACAUGAAAGCCCAUGGAAACAUGUCUCCACUUCCGGAUGGUUACGAGUCCGACGACCAAAGCAUCGGAUCAGAAAGUAUCCCGAGCCCGACCAUAGAAAAACCUCGCUCCCUAAUCACGCCACCUAGUGCCAGUUCAGACCAUUCAUCACAACCGGAAGUCAUUCCGGACGCCCGUUCUUGCUUCACCACCGAGCCCGAUCUUGUCCACAAGCACUCACCCAAUGCUAGUCCGACUUUGCCCAUCCACCCAACAGCAACAUUGCCGACGUCUCACCAACUGAACGAGUGGGUGAUCUGUCAAAACAAUGGCCUCCAAACAAGUGAACAUAUGCCCUUGACCCCUUUCGGUAAUCAUUUGAACUCCAUGCAUCAUCAAACUCUGAUGCAAUUUUCUUAAAAAUGGAGGAUAAAAAAUUACUGGGAUUUGUGCUCUAUAUGACGAUAGUUCUUCUCUUUGUAUACCAUGUGCAUAAUAUUAUUAUACUGUUAUUCAUUUCAUGUGUAAUUAAUCAUAUGUGUUGACUUUUAUAUUAACCCUUGUUGAAUUUUAUUAAUUUUAACAAUUAAACUUGAAAU